CUGGCUGUACAGACUGCUGCCACGAUGGCUGGCUAGGUUGCUCUCACAAGGAAUCCUGGGAGAUGGCAGACCCAGAGAACGGCUUCCUGUGCCUUAAAAUCCCCCAGGCCCAUAAGGAAGGCAGAAGAUACCCUGAGCACCAAUCCCAACCAGCCAGAAGUGUGCUCUCUUCCAACAGCCUGGCCCCGAAGACCCAGUCGGGAUCUCUGUCCUGGAAGAGCACCAGGCAGGCAGCCCUGAAGAUGGUGAGCGGGUCUAUGGUAGAACUCUGAUCAGGCCUGAAGAGCCCUUUCAUGCCCUGGGCAUAUUUGCAGUUGAGGGAGCCAGAAUGUUCCUGGCACCCAAACUCAGAACUCGGACAUUUUCCUUCAUUCCUCACCUCUGUGCCAGUCUUGCUCCCGUCCACUUAGCCCUUGGGCAGGGAUCUAAGCUGAAACAGUGAGAAUUCAUCAGACCCUCCAAAUAAGCCCUGGCGAGGAAGUCCGAUGUGGGGUGUGGACAGCUUCCCCAGGUUCAACCUGCAGCCAGGCUGCCUCAGCAAAUGAACAGGAAGCCACAAGACUGUGAAGAUGCCACAGCGUUAGCGGCUGUUGCUUAUGCUCCUGCUGUCUGCCUGCUUCCACAAGAACCCAAGGAGACGAUGUCGAUGAGCGCCCACGCUGUAUGUAUGGGGGACCUCCUGUAUGGAUGGAGGAUGCCUCUUUUCUCAGCGGCUGUGGAGGGCCUUCACUACACAGCCAGUGACUGCCCCGCUGCCAGCCAGACAGAGCCCACUAUGGAGGAUGAUCAGGACCUGUGUCCCCAAGUGGAGAGGAUGAAGGAUGCUUGGCUGAACUUACUUAUGAUCUGCAUGCUGGUCAGGUCGAUUCGGAUCUUCUGGAAACUGGAAAAGCCAGCAGCUGUGUAAUCCUUCCGGCAAUGACAGUCAUCCCGCCGGCUCCCAUUAUAGGGACAUUCUGUUGGGUUGUGCAACCUAAGCAAUGGCGACAGGAUUGAGGUAAGAAUGGGAAAAUUUUCUCUAGGGAUCUCUAGGCAUUUACGCUCUUCUGGGAUUGAGCCUCCUACCUAUGCCCGUAAACUUCAGAGAAAUUCUCUGAGUCACCAUGGGCCAGAGUCACAUACUCCUUGGGAUAGUCGGAAUGCAUUCCUGCGCAGAAUAUCUGCAAGAAACACGAGGAAGAACUCAACAGAGGCACUCAGAGAGAGCGAUGGGAGCAGAGAUUACUGUGAAAACAUUCUGUAAACAAUGAUUUCAACACUCACCUUUAGGGGUUUCCCUCUAACAAUCAGGAAAUAUUCACCAUCUGCACUGACACUGUUGAGUCUUUUUACCUCCUUGCAGUUCUGGGGUAACUCGCCUAGGAAGCACAAAUCAUCAAAAUGGGUGCAAGCACCUCAGAUGUUCACUAUCUACCAACAGAAUACGUCACGCUGCCUGUGCGAACUGGCCAGUGGAUAGAUUAAAAGGAGAGAGGGUUGGUGGUAGGGAGAAGAGAGACAAGGAGAGAGAGAUAGUUCAGUCAGUAGAGCGCUUUCCAGGCAAACAUGAAGACUUGAGGUUGAUGCCAUGGAACACAUACACAAAACAACUGGCUGUGAAUGUGCAUUGUGUAAUCUCAGAGAUGAGGAAGGGGAGACAGAAGGACAAUGGAGGUCCACAGGCCAGCCAGUCUGGUGAAUCAGUAAGCUCUAGGUUCAGUGAGCAACUUUGUCUCAACAGUAAGGUGGAGAGUGACUGAGGAAGGGCACUUGAGAUCAAUCUCUGGCCUCCAAAAAUUUGAGCAUGAAAGUGUAGGCACCCUGCCCCAAACACACCACACAAUUACUACAUUUCUAAAGAAGACAGACAAAUAGAUGAACAGAGAUGCUUUGCUCUCCAUGGUGAACAAAGAAGGCUUUGGUUGAGCAACUUACAAUUAUAAACGUUGUGACAGGUUUUUCGUUCUUCCGGCUUUAGAUUGGCAGGGCAUAAGUGGCUGGGUUGGUCCUCGUUGGUUAAACACUGCACAGAUCUAUGCAUGACUCCCACGCCACAGGACACUGAGCACUGGAAGGCAAAGAAGAGUCAGUUUAAGAGUGGCUCUUAAACUUGGGAGGUGUAAGCAUCAUGACACAAAGCUUGGAGCCCUGGGGCUGUGCGACACACCGCUGGCAUUUAUUGAUUUCUUAUACCACGACUUGCUGUUGUGUUAAGCUUCACAUAUAUGUACUUAAGCAUUAUAUAUGUAUAUAGAUAUUAUAUCUGUAAAACACACAAUCCUAUAUAAAGCAUUUAUACACGUG